GACCCCGAAGGAAGGCAGACAGGACGGAGCCAGGCAACAAGAAGCAGGGCGGGCGAGUACGAAGAGGAGGGGGGGAACCGUCUCUUCUUCGUAUGUGCGAUAGGGUCGGCAUGCGGAUGAUCCACGGCGGGUCGCUCAUGAUCCCAACUAUUUGUUGUGGUCGGAGGGAUCGUAGCUUUUGAGACAAAUAUUCUCCCCUGCUGGAACUUGAUGUUUAGUAUAAUUGACAAGAAUGCAUCCUUAUGGCAGAGAAGUUUGCAUGCCAUUUGUGACUCUCAUUCUUGCUUUUGAGGUUUUCUUUUUUGCUGGUUGAGAUAACUUUUCCACAUUGGUGAUUCAUUUCACAUCAAGUCAAGGAAUUUUAUCUUUCUUUCAAAUGUGUCGGCUGUGAUGAACCUAUCAAUUCAGCAAACUAUUAUUGUGUUAAAGAAAUUUGAUUUAAGUAGGUGAGAGACUGAUCAUAGUGUUCAUGUAUAUAUUUUAGUCACAUAUCAUUUCUGCAAUGAGGAUUUUAGCAAUGGGUAGAUAUUGGUAACUUGUUCACUGAUUCA